UGGGGAAUUUUGGACAAUGGGCGAAAGCCUGAUCCAGCAAUGCCGCGUGCAGGAUGAAGGCCCUCGGGUUGUAAACUGCUUUUGUACGGAACGAAAAGCCUGGGGCUAAUAUCCCCGGGUCCUGACGGUACCGUAAGAAUAAGCACCGGCUAACUACGUGCCAGCAGCCGCGGUAAUACGUAGGGUGCAAGCGUUAAUCGGAAUUACUGGGCGUAAAGCGUGCGCAGGCGGUUUUGUAAGACAGUGGUGAAAUCCCCGGGCUCAACCUGGGAACUGCCAUUGAGACUGCAAGGCUAGAGUGCGGCAGAGGGGGAUGGAAUUCCGCGUGUAGCAGUGAAAUGCGUAGAUAUGCGGAGGAACACCGAUGGCGAAGGCAAUCCCCUGGGCCUGCACUGACGCUCAUGCACGAAAGCGUGGGGAGCAAACAGG
rnacentral:rRNA from 1 species